rnacentral:rRNA from 1 species
CCUACGGGAGGCAGCAGUGAGGAAUAUUGGUCAAUGGCCGGAAGGCUGAACCAGCCAUGCCGCGUGAAGGUCAGUGCCCUAUGGGCGUUAAACUUCUUUUGUGCGGGAGCAAUAAUGGUCACGUGUGGCCAGACGAGAGUACCGUACGAAUAAGCAUCGGCUAACUCCGUGCCAGCAGCCGCGGUAAUACGGGGGAUGCAAGCGUUAUCCGGGUUUAUUGGGUUUAAAGGGUGCGUAGGCGGUGAGGUAAGGCAGCGGGGAAAUGCCCCCGCUCAACGGGGUGAAGUGCCAUUGAUACUGCCUUGCUGGAAUGCGGAUGCCGUGGGAGGAAUGUGUGGUGUAGCGGUGAAAUGCAUAGAUAUCACACAGAACACCGAUUGCGAAGGCAUCUCACGAAUCCGCGAUUGACGCUGAUGCACGAAAGCGUGGGUAUCAAACAGGAUUAGAUACCCCUGUAGUC